AAGUGUUGCAAUGAUCUGGGAGUGAUUUCAGCAGCAGGUUUUAUUUUUGUUCCCAUAACGUUCUGCUAAAAGGUAGGAAAACUUUCUCUAAAAACAUUGUAAAAAUGUUUAGUGAUAACUUUGAUAGAACAUUAUCCCCUAACAUUCUUAUGAAGUGUUUAGCGGGAAGCUUGCCAUUGGCCGCUGGAUGUGGACUCAAAUGUUGCUUAGACUUCAAAUGUUGAUUAAAAGUGAAAACCCAACCUUUGUUUGAUGUCAAGCUCCAACAUUAUUAAGCAACUCAAAAAACGGCUUAACUUAAACCAGAUCGACUUUAUUUCUUUAGUGUAUAAAAGUUCUGAUCAACUGGUCUCAUCCAGAGUCUAAUCGAUGUUAUUAAGCUCAUAUUUUUGAUUGUGCUGAUAUUUUUCUACAACAUAACAACCAUCAGUGUUUUAAUCAAAUAAUCUGUAUUAAAAAAAAAACCUUUUGCUGUAUUACCAUAAUAAGCAGUUACAGCGACCAAAGAAAAUCUAACAUUAAAAAGUUAAGUCGAACUACCCAACUAAUGCAAACACUGUUCUCCAUAAUGGUGACAUCAAACCAAACUAUUACUUUCAAAUGACAUCAGCAUCUAAAUCUCUUUUUAUCUCAAUAAGAACUUUUAUACACACAUGACAGAAAUCAAAUCAAUCUGGUUUGUAAUGUGAAGCUGGUAAUGCUGGUUUUGGAGUUGUUUAAUGACAUUGACAUCAAAACAAUUUUGUUUUUAGACAUCAACCUGAUUUUCAUAUUCAAUCAAAAUUUGACGUCUAUGGGUGACGUUGGAGUCCACAUCCAGUGCAAUAAAUGUUAUUGUUCUAAGAAUGUUUUGAGAACAUUAUGCUAUGUUCUGCAAAUGUUUUCAGCAGCAAGUUUUAUUGUUGUUCCCAGAAUAUUCUCCUAAAAAUGUAGGAUAACAUUAAUUACAAACAUUGUAAAAAGGUUUAGUGAUAACAUUGUUAGAACAUUAUUCCCUAACAUCCUUAUAAAGUUUUUAGAGGGAAGUUUCCCAUCGGGCAAAUAAAACUGAACACCUCAAUGUCGCAAUAAAUCAAAGUCGACACAACAACCUUUUAAACGUCUACAAACUCUCAAGUCUCAGUUGAGCUCAAGUGCACAAAAAGGCCAUAAGUAAACCAAUAUCCAUCAAAAAGGUCUUGUCAAUAUAGCGGAUAAAUAAAACAAUGUUAAGUCAAAUUAAAUAGUCAAAGUCUACUGUAUGUUCUGGUUUGAGCCUCAUCACCAGCUGCAGUCAAUUCCUCAUCUAAUAAAUCAAACACCUGCGAUCAGAAACUACCUGCUAAUGCACUCACAUUCAAGUAAAGUAGCCUUGAUGACAAGUUUUGGGUGAGUAAAUCACAUUAUUAGUUUAUAACUACUAUUAGUUUACAACAGUACUUUGCAGAUGAAGCUGCUGCUAGUUAAUUACUGCAAAUUUACACUGCAAAGCUUUACAGUGUAUCAUUGACUAGAAUUCAUAAAGAAAAGAUUAAUAAGAUUCAUAAAAAGGAAAAAUUAAUUAAAGAAAUGAAUAAAAGACAAUCAAAAGAAUAUAACUGUAUAAAUUCAAAUAUGAAAAAUUACACAUACACAAAGUGGUCAAAUAAAAGCUUUUAUUUCACAUGAAGCAUGCUGCUGCAGAAAAUAUUGAGAUUACAGGACUAGAUUAAUAGCCUACAUUUAUCACCCUUGCUAUUAGACACAAAAGGGCUUUUCACACUUGUAAAGUAACGUUUCACACUUGUAAUUUAGAGGCAGGGUUAGCACUUUAACCCAGGGUUAUGAAGCCCUGCUCCAGAGCAGGGUUAGCAUCGCUUUUUUGAUGCGCUACUUUUCCUUUGUUUUUCAAUGUUUGGAAGUUUUUAGUAAACCUAAAUACCCUGAUUAGCGGGAUGAGGUGUUUUUAAUUAGAGUUGGAGCUAAACUCUGCAGGGUUAGGGUUACAGUGUAAAUUACACACACCCAUACAGAAAACUAGAAUUUUGAAGCAGUUAUGUCCAUUUUUGAAAACAUACAUUUUUAAUAAGUAACUAGAUAAGACAGUUUUGGGCUGUGAGUGUGUGCAGUUUAUGUUGUAGAACAAAACGUCAAAGUAUCAUCAAAUUAUGUUUACCACAGGAUCUAUUUCACUCAAAAAUUGAAAAUUAUAAAACCCCAUAGGAAAAUCUCGAAGGAACCAAUGGUUAAUUAGUUUUCUGGGUUCUGACGUCUUCCCUGCACUCACUCUAUUCUUAACCCUGAGUAAAUUAUGAGCAGUGUGAAAUAACCCUGUGUUCCAUUUACCCAGGGUUUAGAAUGACCCAGGGUUAAUGAGUUCAAGCGUGAAAAGCCCUAUAGUUAUAGAAAGCUCAACUCAUCAUGACAGGUCAGAGUUAAUAUGAAAGAAAGCAAAAGCAUUGCUGCACUAAUAUUUCCUGGUUAAUCAUCUUUGUAGAUCUCACUGUGUAAUGGCUGGAGGAUUGCCAGCGUUUGGUCUUAUAUUCUGUAGUUUCUCUUUCAUGCUCUCAUACUCUUUCUGCCACUCUUCUUUAGACAGAGAUGAAGGAUUGAUCUCCAGAAACUUGUAGGCGUCAUUCGCCUGAAUGCUGAAGAUGUUGUUGGCCUUCUUGCAGCUGAUGCCAAACUUUGUCCAUCCCUGUUCAAAUUAAAUUAAACAUCAGAGGUUUGAACAACAGCAGAACUUCAGAAACAUCAUCAACAUCAUCAUCUUUUACCUCUUUAGCUGCGGUGAUGGACUCCAGGAACUGCUCCUUCAGAUCUUCAAGAUCUUCAAUCCAAAUCUCCCCAGCAAAGGUCCUUUUCUUCAGCAUAUCCAGCAAAGAUCCCACUUUCUCCCAAAAUUUCUGAAGCUGAAUCAGGAUUUGUUGGAUGCGAGACAGACACUUCUGGACCUCAUCAAGGUGUAUGACGUCAGGCACCUGACCUGUGAUGUCAAAUACAGAAGUAAACAGAUGAGCAAACCUAAAAUCCACAUGAGGUUUAAAUAUUAACAAGAAAACACAGCAGCGUCUCACCAUUUUCAAUUUUUAAUUUGGCCAGAUUCAGCUGGUUGUCCAUCAACUUGUUCUGGAUGUCCCACUCUUGUUCUUUCAUACGUUGCUGUGCUGUGGUGAGCUCAGAUAAACCAGCACAAAGAGAUCUGACCAUAGAUUCCUGUGAAGUAGCCAUCACCAUUUUGGAAAUGUAACUCAUAACACUUUCCACAAAUGGCACAAUCAUUGCAAAUAUAGCAACACCUGAUCCCAUCGCGGGCGUCACACCAGGCAUCUGCGUCGUCUUUUCUUCCUUGGUGUCAGUGAUGCUGCUGAUGAAUUUAUGUAUCUCUGCGUUUUUCACCUCAAUCUUUUUCUCAUAGUCUUCUAUGUCUUUACUGAUUUUACCAUGCUUUGCUUCCAGAACAUCAAUAAUCUUCUGAAGCUCCUCCAUCUGACUGGUUAGUUCCUGCUGCUUCUUCUUGGUCUCCUCCUUUUCAGUGAUGAUGUCACUGGUCGUUGCGGCUACAUCACUGUUGUGUUUCUCGUACCUGGAUGUGCGUCAGAUAUUUCAAAAUAUUUAAUUUUAAUAAUCAGUUAUGGUUAUUGUACAUUACGCAACUAUUUCAUUUGGAAUUUUCCUCAUUCAUAUUCUUACCUCUUCACAAUUUCUUUAACAUCCGUUAUGAUGUCACCGAUCCAUUCUUUGGCUUUUUCUAGGAAUUUCAGGGCUAAUUGUGGUUUGUUUUUCUCAGCAGCCACCUUCAGACUGGGCAGGAGAGAUGUGACAAGGUUCUCGCUGGUUCCUGCACACUGUAAAGACAGAAAUAAGAGAGAAGAAGGGAUCAUUGUUCACUGUUUGUAUCAUGAACCAUGAAGUUGUUGGAAAAUGAUCAUGGAUGAAUACCUUCAUCAGAAGAGCCUCAGAGGAUCCGAACAGCAUUUGUGUUUCGACAGCUCUCUCUCUGAUCAGACGCUCCAGCUUUGGGAAGUUUCCCAAACACAGGUAAGACAGGUGAUAGAGGAGAGCCGUUCGCUCCGCAGACGGGAGAAGCUGUUGGAUGAACUCUGGACUGCUUGUGGAGUCACUGGAAACAAGCUCUGAGAUACAAACCAAACAUUGUUAGUGCUUUGGUUCAUUUUUAGGCUAGCAACACUAAACAAGCAAAAGUUGUCCCUGUUGCUGCAGGUAUUGUACUCUAAUAUGGUAAUAUUUGUGAUGACAAUGAUGAAGGAGCCUAUACAAAUAUUAGUAGGCCUACUAAAUGUGAAUAAGGAGUUUGACUUCGGCUGCGGUUGGAUUUAAGUGAUUGGCAACAUUUGCUGCUUGCAAGAGGGGAGAAGUUGAAAAAAUACAUGCAAUAAUCCUGACUUGGUUCUAUGGAUCAAUUGUUUGUUGAAUGAAUGUUGAGAUGUGGGUAUGGUACUCUAGUGUAUGCAGAUGAGUGUGAGAUUUCAGGGGCAGAAUCUGAAUGAAAUUUGAAAUGACUGAAGAAUACAUCACCAGAGAGAAGUCUGACUUUCACUGGAAAAUCCAGUGAGUUUCUCACCUUUGCCGUCAGCCAUGUUUUUUUACAGAGUGUAUACUGGUGAAGUCUCCAAGAGUAAGGACUCUAGAGACACACAAAAAAAGACUGUUUACAUUCUCUUUAGAAGGAACUGGUAUCUGAUAUCUGCCUUUACAUUAAUCCCUGCCCAAAAUUAUUGUCUGUGGUCGCUUUACUAUGACCCUCAGGUUUUGAAUGCCUGUGCUAUUAAAAUUACUUUCAUAAUU